rnacentral:sRNA from 1 species
GUACGACUGUACCGCAAGCGGACAAGUUUAGAAUCGUACGAUUGUACCGCAAGCGGACAAGCGACAAACGCAACGAUAAGUACAGCAGCGCUUAGCGCCACUUUAGUUUAAUACAGCGUCAGAAAGUAAAAGAUCGUUGAUGCGGGCAGACGUUAAUCGCCGCAGUGAACGAGUUAAAAACUAAAAAAAAACGUGGUGAUCGAACGCUAUAGAUAAACCAAUUGCAGUGUUAAAUACAAAUUUAAAGAGUGAUAAUUAGUCGAUUAUAAAUCGAGAGGCAGCCACUGGCAGCAAAACAGUAUAGUUGUUGAAGCCUCCUCCAGGCCGAAGACUUCGGUCGCGAGCAAGUGUCUCUUCCUAGUAUGCUUUGUACAACGCGCCAAUAUCAUUCUCAAAGUAUAUUCCUCAACAACAACUUAAUUGCACCCCAACAACAACAGUUAUUUUCGUCACAACUGUCAACUCACCACGACUUUAAAAUACCUUGCUCACGCCAAGUCAACUACGCAACUACGGUGAACUAUAUAACUUAGCUUACUACGUUUGAGAAACUGCAGCUGGCUACAUAAAGACAACAACAGCGUAAGACGAAACCAACACAAUCAUAUGCCGGUCCUAGACAACUUCUAAAGAGAGAUUAAGUAAUAUACUCGACUCAAGUGUAGGGUAUCUGCUGGCGCACUAAGGUGAAAUAUUUGCAAACGCACAUCAAAGCAAAAUAAAAUGUAAAAGAAAAAGAGAAAUAUUUGAACGGGAAGGGCGGAUAGCUGAUACACUCACCGGAAGGGUUCUGCUAAUAUUUAACUAA